AAUGAACGUUGGCGGCGUGGAUUAGGCAUGCAAGUCGAGCGAGAACCCCGCAAGGGGGGACAGCGGCAAACGGGGUAGUAACAGGUAGGUAACGUACCCCCCGGUCGGGGAUAGCCACGGGAAACUGUGGGUAAUACCCGAUAAUCUCCCAGGUUUUCAUAAUUUGGGAGCAAAGGUGUGAUUCCACCAGAGGAGCGUCCUGCUUCGUAUUAGCUAGUUGGUGAGGUAACGGCUCACCAAGGCUUCGAUGCGUAGGGGGUGUGAGAGCAUGACCCCCACCACUGGGACUGAGAUACUGCCCAGACACCUACGGGUGGCCGCAGUCGAGAAUCUUCGGCAAUGGGCGCAAGCCUGACCGAGCGACGCCGCGUGUGGGAUGAAGGCCCUUGGGUUGUAAACCACUGUCAGAGGGGAUGAAGUUCCAGCCAGCAAUCUGGUUGGAUUGACAUAGCCUCAGAGGAAGCACGGGCUAAGUUCGUGCCAGCAGCCGCGGUAAGAC
rnacentral:rRNA from 1 species